UACAACCAUAUCACGUUGAAACAGCGGUUCCCAUACGAUCAUCGAAGUUAAGCAACGUCGAGCCUUAUUAGUACACAGAUCGGUGACCGUUUGGGAAUACUAGCUGCUGUAAGC